AGUGAACGCUGGCGGUAGGCCUAACACAUGCAAGUCGAACGGCAGCACAGGAGAGCUUGCUCUCUGGGUGGCGAGUGGCGGACGGGUGAGGAAUACAUCGGAAUCUACUCUGUCGUGGGGGAUAACGUAGGGGAAACUUACGCUAAUACCGCAUACGACCUACGGGUGAAAGCAGGGGACCUUCGGGCCUUGCGCGAUUGAAUGAGCCGAUGUCGGAUUAGCUAGUUGGUGGGGUAAAGGCCCACCAAGGCGACGAUCCGUAGCUGGUCUGAGAGGAUGAUCAGCCACACUGGAACUGAGACACGGUCCAGACUCCUACGGGAGGCAGCAGUGGGGAAUAUUGGACAAUGGGCGCAAGCCUGAUCCAGCCAUACCGCGUGGGUGAAGAAGGCCUUCGGGUUGUAAAGCCCUUUUGUUGGGAAAGAAAUCCAGCCGGCUAAUACCCGGUUGGGAUGACGGUACCCAAAGAAUAAGCACCGGCUAACUUCGUGCCAGCCGCCGCCGUAA
rnacentral:rRNA from 1 species